CCUACGGGUGGCAGCAGUGAGGAAUAUUGGUCAAUGGACGAGAGUCUGAACCAGCCAAGUAGCGUGAAGGAUGACUGCCCUAUGGGUUGUAAACUUCUUUUAUAUGGGAAUAAAACGUUCCACGUGUGGGAUUUUGUAUGUACCAUAUGAAUAAGGAUCGGCUAACUCCGUGCCAGCAGCCGCGGUAAUACGGAGGAUCCGAGCGUUAUCCGGAUUUAUUGGGUUUAAAGGGAGCGUAGGUGGAUUGUUAAGUCAGUUGUGAAAGUUUGCGGCUCAACCGUAAAAUUGCAGUUGAAACUGGCAGUCUUGAGUACAGUAGAGGUGGGCGGAAUUCGUGGUGUAGCGGUGAAAUGCUUAGAUAUCACGAAGAACUCCGAUUGCGAAGGCAGUUCACUAGACUGCAACUGACACUGAGGCUCGAAAGUGUGGGUAUCAAACAGGAUUAGAUACCCUAGUAGUC
rnacentral:rRNA from 1 species